GCCAGGUACAGUGGUGUACGCCUGUAAUCCCAGCAGCUUGGGAGGCUGAGACAGGAGGAUUGCAAGUUCAAAGCCAGCCUCAGCAAAAGUAAGGCACUUAGCAACUCAGUGAGACCCUGUCUCUA
rnacentral:sRNA from 1 species